CUACGCACUCCUACGGGAGGCAGCAGUGGGGAAUAUUGCACAAUGGGCGCAAGCCUGAGUGCAGCCAUGCCGCGUGUAUGAAGAAGGCCUUCGGGUGUAAAGUACUUUCAGCAGUGAGGAAGGUGGGUAUGUUAAUAGCAUAUUCAUUUGACGUUAGCUGCAGAAGAAGCACCGGCUAACUCCGUGCCAGCAGCCGCGGUAAUACGGAGGGUGCGAGCGUUAAUCGGAAUUACUGGGCGUAAAGCGCAUGCAGGUGGUUUGUUAAGUCAGAUGUGAAAGCCCGGGGCUCAACCUCGGAAUUGCAUUUGAAACUGGCAAACUAGAGUACUGUAGAGGGGGUAGAAUUUCAGGUGUAGCGGUGAAAUGCGUAGAGAUCUGAAGGAAUACCGGUGGCGAAGGCGGCCCCCUGGACAGAUACUGACACUCAGAUGCGAAAAGCGUGGGGAGCAAACAGGAUUAGAUACCCUGGCAG
rnacentral:rRNA from 1 species